rnacentral:rRNA from 1 species
AAGGGUAACCGAAUCGCCAUAAUUACACCCUAUGUCGUCAUAUCUCAGAAGCUAAGUAGGUUUGAGCCUGGCGAGUUCUUGGAUGGGUGAACCCUCGGGGCUUGCCAGAUGUUGUA